rnacentral:rRNA from 1 species
CCUACGGGUGGCAGCAGUAGGGAAUAUUGCUCAAUGGGGGAAACCCUGAAGCAGCAACGCCGCGUGGGGGAAGAAGGUACAGCGUAUCGUAAACCUCUUUUGUCAGGGAACAAAGGCGGGGACUAGUCCCCGGAUGAGGGUACCUGAAGAAAAAGCAUCGGCUAACUCCGUGCCAGCAGCCGCGGUAAUACGGAGGAUGCGAGCGUUAUCCGGAUUUAUUGGGUUUAAAGGGUGGGCAGGCGGCCUGUUAAGUCAGCGGUAAAAGCCCGGGGCUCAACCCCGGAGAGCCGUUGAAACGGGCGGGCUGGAGUGGGAGAGAGGUACGCGGAAUGCGCGGUGUAGCGGUGAAAUGCUUAGAUAGCGCGCAGAACCCCGAUUGCGAAGGCAGCGUACCGGCUCUACACUGACGCUGAGGCACGAAAGCGUGGGUAUCGAACAGGAUUAGAUACCCCAGUAGUC